rnacentral:rRNA from 1 species
GACGAACGUUGGCGGUGCGCUUUAUGCAUGCAAGUCGAGCGAGAAGCGUUGGUUCCGUAAGGUUCCGACGUGGAAAGCGGCGAACGGGUGCGUAACACGUGAGAAACCUGCCCCCCAGACCGGGAUAGCCCAGGGAAACUUGGAUUAAUACCGGAUACUCUCUCCGGAUCGCAUGAUCUGGUGAGGAAAGGUCCGCUGCUGGGGGAUGGUCUCGCGGCCUAUCAGGUAGUUGGUGAGGUAACGGCUCACCAAGCCGAAGACGGGUAGCUGGUCUGAGAGGACGAUCAGCCACACUGGAACUGAGACACGGUCCAGACUCCUACGGAGGCAGCAGCAGGGAAUAUUGCACAAUGGGCGAAAGCCUGAUGCAGCGACACCGCGUGCGGGAUG